UACGUAGGGUGCAAGCGUUAUCCGGAUUUACUGGGCGUAAAGCGUUCGUAGGCGGGAAGCUAAGUCUUUUCUUAAAGCCCUCGACUCAAUCGAGGAAAUGGAAAAGGGACUGGCUUUCUUGAGGGUAGGAGGGGGUGCUGGAACUGGCGGUGUAGGGGUGAAAUCCGUUGAUAUCGCCAGGAACGCCGAGAGCGAAGGCAGGCACCUGGAAUACUUCUGACGCUGAGGGACGAAAGCUAGGGGAGCAAAAGGGAUUAGAUACCCGCGUA
rnacentral:rRNA from 1 species